AGGACACCCGCUUUCUUGCUGAUAGCAUGGGACCAGAUAGCAUGGGACCAGAUAGCAUGGGACCUGUGGAUUGGGAACUAUAGGAAGACUUGCCUACCGUUGAUCCAAGCAACACAGGGAAAGUCGAUUCCCCUGUCCUCUUGUCCACGGUCUGGAGUACUUUGCAGCAGUUGAGGUGAAGGGCAGGGUUGCUCAGUGGCCAGCAUUGCCAUUGACUCAAGAUGAAGUUUCUUCAGUGCCCAGUCUUCUUGGAGGAAAUGGGGUGGAGCCAGCAGCUGGCCUAUCUCUCUGUUAUGAAAAGCUUUUUAAUAAAACAUUUUAAAUGCUAUGUUCUCUAGAUCUCUGAGCAUUUGAGGGUUGCCUGUCUAAUAUCUCGGCAGUCAAAAAUUUACCUUUAGUUAGAGAAAAAUUUCUUUUUGUAAUAAAAGCGUUACCUUUGUAAACAGCUUGUAGGAUGGAUUGAGUGGUGUAAAUAUUUUGUUAACUUGAAAUAGACCUUUAUGAUUUCAAAUGUUAAUCAUCAUUUAAAGAUACAUAACAAUUUAGAAAUAUGAGAUUUACCACAGUUUAAAUUGCAUAUAGAGUUAGCUAAGUAUAAAGUUAAAUUUAAACUACAUGUACAGAGACAAGCAGGACUGGAUAAAAGUAAAAGGGGGAACCAGAAUCUUUGAUCCGUACAUUGUAGCAAACAGACAGGAGAUUUAAAGGGACAGAAUAGACUUAAACAGAGGGCCCUGGAAAGACACAGUAUUCCAUAAACGAGCCAUGCACAACAGGGCCAGUGAAAGGAAUCAGAGACAAAAAUAAAAAGCAAAAAAUCUGGCAGCCAGGUUUGCUGGCACAGGUGGCUGUGGUGGGCGUGCCUACAGGUAGGUCACAUGGCCAAGAUGGUGGCAACCUUAGGCAUGUUUCCGACUGCUGGCAGGAGUAACAAACAGAAGAGUGGGGGACAUUCCCAGGUGAAAGAAUGUUCCCACAGAGAGGUAGAAGAAAGCUUGGAUAGUACAUAAGAGUUUUAGUGAAACAGGACAUUGUUAGGUGAAAGGAGGUUCCCACAGAGAGGUAGAACUCCUCCCAUUUACCUCUUCGCUGGCAGUAACCAGAAAAGUUCCCAUACAUGUAUUCCCCAUGGGUGAGGCAAGUGAAAAAACCGGCAAAAGCCCCUCUUCGGAAGCCCAUAGCCCUGAGAGGGAUUGCUGGGGGCCUGGCCCCAAAGGGGACUCAGCUAUCCCGAAACCAAAAGGACCCAGUGGUCCGAACUGAAAAGCCAAAAAGCACCUCUCCUGGAGUGGGAUUCCAAACCUGACCUUGGGAAAUUUAAGGGGUAUCUUACCAGACUGCAGCCAACAGGCAGAUGAGUGGAUUCCAAAGAUCCUUAGUUUGAAAAGCGGCAAGUUGAAGCGUACAGAGUUCUGGCAUCUCAAGCCACCACAGGCAGGAGGUAAGGCCGGGAAAACCGAGAUGGAAAGUGGGUUGUGUGUUCGGAUUCUAGGAUCCCCGAAAUUCCCCGUAACCCUGGUGGGAGAGCUCCUGGGCCUGGACUAGUGCAGUCACUCCAUAUAUAUGUAUUUCCCAAGGGAACAAAUGUGGCUCCAUUCACAUGAACUGUUUUCAUACUCAGGCUUCCAUUGUACUUGCAAGGCUGGCCCUGGGGCUACUGUAACAAAUUACCAUGAGUCUAGAGGCACAAAGCAACACAGACAUUAUUCUCUAACAGUUCUCAGAAGUGAGAAGGCCAACAUUUUUCUUUUUAAACUGAGCAAAAUCAAGGCCACACUCCCACCACAGAAGAGAACAUGGCCCUUGCCUCUGCAGCUUCUGCUGGUUGACAGUGUUCCUGGGCUUGUGGCUGCCUCUCAGCACCAGCAACUUCAAGUGUUUCUGUAUGCUGUUUUUUUUAUAUCACUCUGUGCAUGUGCACUUAUAAAAUCCCUGUAGGGACAGUGUAAGCCACGCCUGCUAGAAGCUGGCUACACGUGUGCCUGACCACACCUAUUAGGGCGUGGUCAAGGUGAAGUCAGGAUGACACGUGAUAAGUUUUUAAGGGGCUGCAAGGCCCAUGGGAGCCCCUUCUCUCUGUCCUGCCUGCCUUGCUGCCCCUGGCGCACUCUGGCUUGUGUUAGGCUGAUGUUAAUCUAAAUAAAGAUAUCUUAACCUUACGGACUAAGGAUCUUCUCGUAAUAAAUCCCCCUCGGCUUCUCUCUCCCAUUGGGUACACAGGACAACAGUCAAUGCCUAAGGCACUAACCCAGGACAGCUACCUGAAUCACCCUGCAAAGACUUCCUUGUAUAACAUAACAUUCAACCUUCAGAUGGCCAAUUGAUUGCAUCUGAUGUCUUCAGGCCACCAGUGACAUCACCAGUAGCUCUGGAAAUCCCUUUGCAGGAUGAAGACAUUAUACUGUUUGUAGCUUCUG
rnacentral:lncRNA from 1 species